rnacentral:rRNA from 1 species
UGAGUAAAGUGGCGCACGGGUGAGUAACACGUGAAUGAUCUACCUCCGAGUGGGGAAUAACUGAGAGAAAUCUUAGCUAAUACCGCAUAACACUUACGAGUCAAAGCAGAAAUGCGCUUGGAGAGGAGUUCGCGGCCGAUUAGCUAGUUGGCGGGGUAAUGGCCCACCAAGGCGAUGAUCGGUAUCCGGCCUGAGAGGGCGCACGGACACACUGGAACUGAAACACGGUCCAGACUCC